UACAGAGGUCUCAAGCGUUGUUCGGAUUCAUUGGGCGUAAAGAGCGCGUAGGCGGUCCGGUAAGUCGGUUGUGAAAACUGGGGGCUCAACCCUCAGAGGCCGACCGAUACUGUCGGGCUAGAGUCCGGAAGAGGCGAGUGGAAUUCCUGGUGUAGCGGUGAAAUGCGCAGAUAUCAGGAGGAACACCAAUGGCGAAGGCAGCACUCUGGGCCGGUACUGACGCUGAGGAGCGAAAGCAUGGGGAGCGAACAGG
rnacentral:rRNA from 1 species